rnacentral:rRNA from 1 species
CCUACGGGUGGCAGCAGUGGGGAAUAUUGCACAAUGGGGGAAACCCUGAUGCAGCGACGCCGCGUGAGUGAAGAAGUAUUUCGGUAUGUAAAGCUCUGUCAGCAGGGAAGAAAAUGACGGUACCUGACUAAGAAGCCCCGGCUAACUACGUGCCAGCAGCCGCGGUAAUACGUAGGGGGCAAGCGUUAUCCGGAUUUACUGGGUGUAAAGGGAGCGUAGACGGCAGGGCAAGUCUGGAGUGAAAGGCCGGGGCUCAACCCCCGGACGGCUCUGGAAACUGCCAGGCUGGAGUGCAGGAGAGGUAAGUGGAAUUCCUAGUGUAGCGGUGAAAUGCGUAGAUAUUAGGAGGAACACCAGUGGCGAAGGCGGCUUACUGGACUGUAACUGACGUUGAGGCUCGAAAGCGUGGGGAGCAAACAGGAUUAGAUACCCGUGUAGUC